AUUUUCUUCUUCUCCUUCUAAAAAAAACUGAAAAAAAACCUCUCAAGUUUCUCUCUCCCUCCCUCAGCCCAGAAUCCGGCAUGGAGGGUCGCCGUUGACGCCGCCGCGCCUGCCACCGUACACGUUGGCCAGAAAAUUCAAGAAAGGCAAGUGGCGAUGGGACGUGAGGUGGUGGCGUGACAGUGCUGGUGAAGGCGGCGCCGGAAGACUAAAGGUCUAAAGACCUUAGGUGCGGCGCUAGGGUUUCUCUUCUGAAACCCUAGCUUAGCUUUGAGCGGGUUGGGCCAGUUGGGCCUUGUUUUGGGCUCCGGGUUUGGGCCUGCUAUUUUGUUUUUUGUAAUCUGGACUGUUAUUGGGCCCGGGCGAAAUUUGGGCUAUACAGUGAUGAAACGUGGUUUUUAUGGUGCAGUGAGGAGCAAUAGAGAUGGAAAGCAAGGGAUGAGUGGUGACAAGGAUAUGUGGUUCUUAUGUUGCAAAUAAACAAAAACAAAUGUUUUGGGCUAAUUAUAGCAAAGUCCCUGGCUUUAGUCAAAAGUAAAAAAAAAAGUCAUGUCAGUGACUAAUUUGAGCAAUUAUAGAGUGACCAAAAUAGAAAUAAUACUAGUUUAGAAUGACCUACGGUGUAGUUUAUCCAAUAAAUUAUACUUUAAAGGUAGUCAUAAUUUGAUAUUAUUUUAUGAAAAUAAUGGAGUACUUUUU